rnacentral:piRNA from 1 species
UGGCAGCUCAACUAAAGGAACUUGUCUUC